GCGGAGGAAAAGAAACCAACAGGGAUUGCCCUAGUAACGGCGAGUGAAGCGGCAACAGCUCAAAUUUGAAAUCUGGCCUCCUCUGGGGGUCCGAGUUGUAAUUUGCAGAGGGUGCUUUGGCAUGGGCGGCGGUCUAAGUUCCUUGGAACAGGACAUCGCAGAGGGUGAGAAUCCCGUAUGUGGGCGCCUGCCUUUGCCGUGUAAAGCCCCUUCGACGAGUCGAGUUGUUUGGGAAUGCAGCUCUAAAUGGGAGGUAAAUUUCUUCUAAAGCUAAAUACCGGCCAGAGACCGAUAGCGCACAAGUAGAGUGAUCGAAAGAUGAAAAGUACUUUGGAAAGAGAGUCAAAUAGCACGUGAAAUUGUUGAAAGGGAAGCGCUUGCAGCCAGACGUGCCCGCAGUUGCUCACCCCGGCUCUUGCCUGGGGCACUCUUCUGCGGGCAGGCCAGCAUCAGUUUGGGCGGUCGGAUAAAGGCCUCUGUCAAGUAUCUUCCUUCGGGAUGACCUUAUAGGGGAGGCGUAAUGCGACCAGCCCGGACUGAGGUCCGCGCAUCUGCUAGGAUGCUGGCGUAAUGGCUGUAAGCGGCCCGUCUUGAAACACGGACCAAGGAGUCUAACAUCUAUGCGAGUGUUUGGGUGUCAAGCCCGGGCGCGCAAUGAAAGUGAACGGAGGUGGGAUCCCUUCGGGGUGCACCAUCGACCGAUCCUGAUGUCUUCGGAUGGAUUUGAGUAAGAGCAUAGCUGUUGGGACCCGAAAGAUGGUGAACUAUGCUUGAAUAGGGUGAAGCCAGAGGAAACUCUGGUGGAGGCUCGCAGCGGUUCUGACGUGCAAAUCGAUCGUCAAAUUUGGGCAUAGGGGCGAAAGACUAAUCGAACCAUCUAGUAGCUGGUUCCUGCCG
rnacentral:sRNA from 1 species